UACGAAGGGGGCUAGCGUUGCUCGGAAUCACUGGGCGUAAAGGGCGCGUAGGCGGCUAUUCAAGUCGGAGGUGAAAGCCCAGGGCUCAACCCUGGAAUUGCCUUCGAUACUGUCUGGCUAGAGACCGGAAGAGGUAAGUGGAACUGCGAGUGUAGAGGUGAAAUUCGUAGAUAUUCGCAAGAACACCAGUGGCGAAGGCGGCUUACUGGUCCGGUUCUGACGCUGAGGCGCGAAAGCGUGGGGAGCGAACAGG
rnacentral:rRNA from 1 species